GGGCUCGUAGUCGAAUGUUUUUUCUAAUUUGAAUUAAAACAGAUAACGGUUAAGACGCUUGUCUUACACACAAGAGAUCCGAGGUUCGAUUCCUCGCGGGCCCA
rnacentral:tRNA from 1 species